UGUUUGAGAAAAGAUGCUAACUGGCCUCGCAGGAUGAUUAUUCCUGGGCUUGCUGCCAUCCGAGUGGCUCUGUAAGGUGACAUGGUGGUUAGUGACACUCAGGCCCGGGGACAAGCGCACAGAGUUCUGGUUUGGCAUUCUGUCUCCCUCCAGGGGUGAGAACCCUGGGCAACUGUCUUCUUGGCUGCUCUUGGCAAUGCAACCUCUGACGUGGUUUGAAGUCAUGGGUCCCUCUGGAUGUCUCUUAAGUCCGUAUUACAGGGCUCUUGGUGUAACGGACACACACAUCCAAGACAGCACCACUGUCAGUGACUCUCCACUUGAAUCUCUCAAAAACAUAGUGCUGCACCACAUGCAGUUACUGAGCAGAUUGUCACCAGACGGCUCAGUUUGCUCCUGGCAUCUCAGUCACAGCUGAAAAGGAGAAAGUCAGAGAACGCAGUGGACCCUCAAAAGGACUCUGAGAGGGGACAGACCUCGGGAGCUGACCUCUGCUGCUCCACCCUCUCUCUAGAAAGCGUGCUACCCCCUGCAUCCUGUGCUCUGUCCUCGCUCUGGGGACAGGUUUGUCUGGGUGGCUGUGAGGAAUCUAAAAGGAAACGUGGCUCUGUCCCUGGACUCCUGCU